GGGGCUGAUUCUGGAUUCGACGGGAUUCGCGAAACCCAAGGUGCAUGCCGAGGUGCGGUGGCCUCGUAAAAAACCGCAAAAAAAAUAGUUGCAAACGACGAAAACUACGCACUAGCAGCUUAAUAACCUGCUUAGAGCCCUCUCUCCCUAGCCUCCGCUCUUAGGACGGGGAUCAAGAGAGGUCAAACCUAAAAGAGCUCGUGUGGAAACCUUGCCUGGGGUGGAAGCAUUAAAACUAAUCAGGAUAGUUUGUCAGUAGCGUGUCCAUCCGCAGCUGGCCGGCGAAUGUAAUGAUUGGACUAAGCAUGUAGUGCCGACGGUGUAGUAAUUUCGGACGGGGGUUCAAAUCCCCCCAGCUCCA
rnacentral:tmRNA from 1 species